ACGCACGCUGGCGGCAUGCCUAACACCUGCCAGUCGAACGAGACCUUCGGGUCUAGUGGCGCACGGGUGCGUCACGCGUGGGGACCUGCCCUUAGGUUCGGAAUAACUCCCCGAAAGGGGUGCUAAUACCGGAUAAUGUCUUCGGACCAAAGAUUUAUCGCCUUUGGAUGGGCCCGCGUUGGAUUAGCUAGUUGGUAGGGUAAAAGCCUACCAAGGCGACGAUCCAUAGCUGGUCUGAGAGGAUGAUCAGCCACACUGGGACUGAGACACGGCCCAGACUCCUACGGGAGGCAGCAGUGGGGAAUACUGGACAAUGGGCGAAAGCCUGAUCCAGCAAUGCCGCGUGAGUGAUGAAGGCCUUAGGGUUGUAAAGCUCUUUUACCCGGGAUGAUAAUGACAGUACCGGGAGAAUAAGCUCCGGCUAACUCCGUG
rnacentral:rRNA from 1 species